rnacentral:rRNA from 1 species
UACGAAGGGGGCUAGCGUUGCUCGGAAUUACUGGGCGUAAAGGGCGCGUAGGCGGAUGUUUAAGUCGGGGGUGAAAGCCCAGGGCUCAACCCUGGAAUUGCCUUCGAUACUGGACAUCUUGAGUGCGGGAGAGGUGAGUGGAACUCCGAGUGUAGAGGUGAAAUUCGUAGAUAUUCGGAAGAACACCAGUGGCGAAGGCGACUGACUGGACAAGUAUUGACGCUGAGGUGCGAAAGCGUGGGGAGCAAACAGGG